rnacentral:lncRNA from 1 species
AUCAGAUUGUAAAUCAAGCAAAGCUUGUUUUUCAUCCUUAGGUAAAUUAUGGAAAGAUUUGGACUCCUGUUUGUUCUUAAGGAGAUGAACAACAUCUUUUUCAACGAGUCUGCAAUUUGUCUCAAUAGAGUGAUUGCGAUUGGCUGGAGGUACAAAAUAACUCUUACUUCUAAAAGGAGUCGGAGUAUGUACAGGUCCUUAAUCUUAAGGGUCUCUAUGAGAGCUGGAAAACCGUUCAUUGGUGAAACCAAUGCCACAGGAGCUAUGACACAGGCUAUUAGUUAGCCAGCAACUGGACCAUUAGCAGUGCCAAAGUGAGAGGCAAGGCAACCAGACAGAAGGCAGUGGGUCGGGGAGCACUUCCUGAAUUGACUGAUGACUCUGGAAAAAAUAUGGAGAGCUGUGAAAACCUGUCCGCAGAUGAAGAGGUCCCAAUGAAUGUCCCAAGAGACUAGGGUUCUCUUUCUCUUCCUCCCGGAGGACUUGAGCCCUAGGACCAUGCCUCAGGACUACCUGGCCUGCAUCUAUGGAACCCUGACCUGAUCACCGGACGUGCUACCUUAUCCCGGACCUGCUGUUUCAACCCUCUCCCUCUCUCUUUCUGUCUCUCUCUCUCUACCUCAACUGCUGUCUAAACCUCUGAAUGCUCGGCAGUAUAAAGCCAACUGACAUUUACUCCUGUGGUCUGAAUUAUUAUUGUUGAUCAUUUCUAACCAAUAAAAAACUGAAAUAUCACAUUUACAUAAGCGUUCAGACCCUUUACUCAGUACUUUGUUGAAGCACCUUUGGCAGUGAUUACAGCAUCGAGUAUUCUUGGGUAUGACGCUACAAGCAUGGCACAACUGUAUUUGGGGAGUUUCUCACAUUCUUCUCUGCAGAUCCUCUCUGUCAGGUUGGAUGGGGAGCGUUAAUGCACAGCUAUUUUUAGGUCUCUCCAGAGCUGUUCGAUCAGGUUCAAGUCUGGG